rnacentral:pre_miRNA from 1 species
AGAGGUUGCCCUUGGUGAAUUCGCUUUAUUGAUGUUGAAUCACACAAAGGCAACUUUUGG